rnacentral:rRNA from 1 species
UACGUAGGGGGCUAGCGUUGUCCGGAAUCAUUGGGCGUAAAGAGCGUGUAGGCGGCCAUGUAGGUCCGUUGUGAAAACUCGAGGCUCAACCUCGAGACGCCGAUGGAAACCAUGUGGCUAGAGUCCGGAAGAGGAGAGUGGAAUUCCUGGUGUAGCGGUGAAAUGCGCAGAUAUCAGGAAGAACACCCGUGGCUAAGGCGGCUCUCUGGGACGGUACUGACGCUGAGACGCGAAAGCGUGGGGAGCGAACAGG